GACGAACGCUGGCGGCGUGCUUAACACAUGCAAGUCGAACGGAAAGGCCCUGCUUUUGUGGGGUGCUCGAGUGGCGAACGGGUGAGUAACACGUGAGUAUCCUGCUCUUGACUUUGGGAUAACUUCAGGAAACUGGGGCUAAUACCGGAUAGGAGCCCCUGCUGCAUGGUGGGGGUUGGAAAGUUUCGGCGGUUGGGGAUGGACUCGCGGCUUAUCAGCUUGUUGGUUGGGUAGUGGCUUACCAAGGCUUUGACGGAUAGCCGGCCUGAGAGGGUGACCGGCGACAUUGGUACUGAGAUACGGCCCAGACGCCUACGGGAGGCAGCAGUGGGGAAUAUGGCACAAUGGGCGGAAGCCUGAUGCAGCAACGCCGCGUGCGGGAUGACGGCCUUCUGGUUGUGAACCGCUUUCGCCUGUGACGAAGCGUGAGUGACGGUAAUGGGUAAAGAAGCACCGGCUAACUACGUG
rnacentral:rRNA from 1 species